rnacentral:rRNA from 1 species
AACGAACGCUGGCGGCGCGUCUUAAGCAUGCAAGUCGAGCGGCAGGGAGGAGCGAUUCUCCUGAGAGCGGCGGGCUGGUGAGUAACGCGUGGGCGACCUGCCCUGGGGAUGGGGAUAGCCGGUAGAAAUAUCGGGUAAUACCGAAUACGCUUACCGAACCGAGGUUUGGCAAGGAAAGGGGCUACGGCCCCACCCUGGGAUGGGCCCGCGUCCCAUUAGCUAGUUGGUGCGGUAACGGCGUACCAAGGCGAAGAUGGGUAGCCGGCCUGAGAGGGCGAACGGCCACACUGGGACUGAGAUACGGCCCAGACUCCUACGGGAGGCAGCAGCUAAGAAUAUUCCGCAAUGGACGAAAGUCUGACGGAGCGACGCCGCGUGGAUGACGAAGGCCGGAAGGUUGUAAAAUCCUUUUGCGGGCGAAGAAGAAGGCUGGGAGGGAAUGCCCAGUUGGUGACACGGGCCCGUGAAUAAGCCCCGGCUAAUUACGUGCCAGCAGCCGCGGUAACACGUAAGGGGCGAGCGUUGUUCGGAAUUAUUGGGCGUAAAGGGCGCGUAGGCGGCCUGUCAAGUCCGGCGUGAAAUGCGGGGGCUCAACUCCCGGACUGCGCUGGAAACUGGGAGGCUUGAGUCAUGGAGGGGCAGUUGGAAUUCCUGGUGGAGGGGUGAAAUCUGUAGAUAUCAGGAAGAACACCGGUGGCGAAGGCGAACUGCCAGCCGGUGACUGACGCUGAGGCGCGAAAGUGCGGGGAGCAAACAGGAUUAGAUACCCUGGUAGUCCGCACUGUAAACGAUGUGCACUAGGUGUCGGGGCGAGCGCCUCGGCGCCGGAGCGAACGCGAUAAGUGCACCGCCUGGGGAGUAUGCCCGCAAGGGCGAAACUCAAAGGAAUUGACGGGGGCCCGCACAAGCGGUGGAGCAUGUGGUUUAAUUCGAUGGUACGCGAGGAACCUUACCUGGGUUUGACAUGCGGGGGAACGGAGCGGAGACGCUCUGGCGCCGUAAGGCGCCCCCGUGCAGGUGCUGCAUGGCUGUCGUCAGCUCGUGCCGUGAGGUGUUGGGUUAAGUCCCGCAACGAGCGCAACCCUUACCGCCAGUUACCAGCAAGUGAUGUUGGGGACUCUGGCGGAACUGCCGGCGACAAGCCGGAGGAAGGCGGGGAUGACGUCAAGUCAUCAUGGCCCUUAUGUCCAGGGCUACACACGUGCUACAAUGGGCGGCACAAAGCGAAGCAAGUCCGCGAGGACACAGCGAACCGCCGAAAGCCGCCCGUAGUUCGGAUUGAAGUCUGAAACCCGACUUCAUGAAGCUGGAAUCGCUAGUAAUCGCGCAUCAGCAUGGCGCGGUGAAUACGUUCCCGGGC